GACGGAGGGUGCAAGCGUUAUCCGGAAUUAUUGGGCGUAAAGAGCUCGUAGGCGGUUUGUCGCGUCUGCCGUGAAAGUCCGGGGCUCAACUCCGGAUCUGCGGUGGGUACGGGCAGACUAGAGUGAUGUAGGGGAGACUGGAAUUCCUGGUGUAGCGGUGAAAUGCGCAGAUAUCAGGAGGAACACCGAUGGCGAAGGCAGGUCUCUGGGCAUUAACUGACGCUGAGGAGCGAAAGCAUGGGGAGCGAACAGG
rnacentral:rRNA from 1 species